AUGACGUGUGUGUUUAUCUCUGCCUUUUUUUACAUGCAGGGGAAGCCUGUUUUCGAGAAUACACGAUCACGCCGAUGCAAUUGUCCAGCGCUAAUCAGAUUGCUGAGAUUGGAGGACAACGGAUGGUACAUAGCGGAGCACAGGGAGAAGCACAACCAUUCGCUGUCUCCAAACUGCGGGGAGACCAUACACUGGCCUUCGCACAAGCGUAUAGAUGCUUACAGCAAGGAUUUGGUGAAGCAGUUGAAGCAGAACAUUUUUAACCUAAGCAAAAUUUACAGCAUAAUUGGUAGUUUUUUUGGUACGAUGGAGGAGGUCCCCUUCACGAAGCGAUCAUUGAAGACAUUAUGCGGGAAGUUAGGACCUGAGCAGGCAGAUGGUGAUGUGAGGAAGACAAUGAAAGUCUUCAAGGAGUUGGGUGCAAACGAUCCACACUUCACGUACCGAGUGCAGGCCGACGGGGAAGGGCGGAUAAAGGGCCUGAUGUGGACCAAUGGAAGCAGCCGGUUGCAGUAUAGUUUUUUCGGGGAUGCGGUUACAUUCGAUACGACCUACAGGACCACUCUGUACGAUAUGAUGUUCGGUUUGUUUGUGGGCGUAAACAACCAUUUCCACAGUGUGCUCCUGGCCGGGGUGCUGAUCAGAGACGAGACCGUAGAAAGCUUCGAGUGGGUUUUUUCAGAGUUCUUACAUAUGAUGGGUGGGGCUGCUCCGAAAACGAUACUAACAGGUAAAAAAUAUACGGAGCACGUAUGUGAUAGUUGUGUAACUGAUGUCAAACUUAUUUAUGGAAGAGCACAUGCCCAACUGAUUUUGUAUUCUUUAUGCAACUGCAGACCAAAUUAG
rnacentral:rRNA from 1 species